rnacentral:rRNA from 1 species
UACGUAGGGGGCAAGCGUUGUCCGGAUUUAUUGGGCGUAAAGAGCGUGUAGGCGGCUUGACAGGUCUGCUGUGAAAACUCGAGGCUCAACCUCGAGAUGUCGGCGGAAACCGUCUGGCUAGAGUCCGGAAGAGGAGAGUGGAAUUCCUGGUGUAGCGGUGAAAUGCGCAGAUAUCAGGAAGAACACCUAUGGCGAAGGCAGCUCUCUGGGACGGUACUGACGCUGAGACGCGAAAGCGUGGGGAGCGAACGGG